GCGGCAGCUCUACCCUUUAGCUCAGUGCGGAUGUUGUCUGUAAUCCAUGGCUUCUCGUUGGGGUAUGUACGUACGGUCACUGUUGGGACGACAUCAUCGAUGCACUUAUUGAUGAAGCCAGUGACGGAAGAAUCCCGGAAGAGAUUCCAGUCUGUGCCAGAAAAACUGUCCUGUAGCUUAGCAUCUGCGUCAUCUGACCACUUCCUUAUUGAGUGAGUCACUGGUACUUCCUGCUUUAGCAUUUGCUUGUAAGCAGGAAUUAGGAGAAUGGAGUUAUGAUCAGAUUUGCCAAAUGGAGGGUGAGGGACAGCAUUGUACGCGUCUCUGUGUGUGGAGUAUAGGUGGUCUAGAGUUUUUUUCCCUCUGAUUUCGUGCACCAGCUGUUAUUUACAAAUAGACACAGACCGCCACCGCUUAUUUUACCGGAGGCAUCUGUUCUGUCUUGCUGAUGGACCAAAAACCCAGCCUGUUGUAUGUUAUCCAUGGAGUCGUUCAGCCACAACUCGGUGAAAAAUAAGAUAUUACAGUUUUUUAUGUCCCGUUGGUAGGAUAGUCUUGAUCGGAGCUCAUCCAUUUUGUUAUCCAACGAUUGCACGUUGGCUAAUAGGACUGAUGGUAGAUGGGGAUUAUUCACUCGCCGUCGGAUCCUUACAAGGCACCCCAACCUAUGUCCCCAAUAUCUCUGUCUCUUCUUCAUGCGAAUGACAGGGAUUUGGGCCUUGUCAGGUGUCUGAAAUUUGCAUCUGACUCAUUAAAUAAAAAAAUCUUUGUCCAGUACGAGCCGUUACAGAAUUACCCACCACAAAAAGACCAAGCAGUGGAGAAGAGGGCAGAUGGAAGUCAAGGAGGACUAUAGGAAGCAGCGCGCUCGGGAGGAGAUGGCAUCCUGGUCGCUGGAGGUGUGUGUUGGAGUCAAGGGUUGACUGGACAUGGGAGCAAUUGCUGGACCACUGUGACAACCUGCCAGGUAGAGCCCGAGAGGCAGCCCCAAUUUUUUUGGGGGGGCACACGGGGAGUGUGGCAGAGUCAGGUUGGAGACCUGAGCCAGCUCCCCGUGCUUACAGGAGGCAACGUAGUACUGGUCAGGCACCGUGUUAUGCAGUAAAGCGCACGGUGUCCCCAGUACGCGUGGAGAGCCCGGUGCGUUACAUCCCAGCUCCUAACAUCUGCCGGGGGAGAUUGGGCAUCGAGCCAGGACGAGUUGUGCAGGCCGUGCGCUCUAGACCUCCAGUGCGUCUUCAGGACCCGGUCUAUCCUGUGCCUGCGCCCAGAACCAGGCCUCCUGCAUGUCUCUCCAGCCUGGUGAAUCCUGUGCCGCCUCCACGAACCAGGCCUCCAGUGGGUCUCCCCAUCCUGGUCAGUCCUGUGCCUGCUCCACGGACCAGGCCUCCAGUGGGUCUCCCCAUCCUGGUCUCUCCUG
rnacentral:lncRNA from 1 species